rnacentral:rRNA from 1 species
UACGAAGGGGGCUAGCGUUGUUCGGAAUUACUGGGCGUAAAGCGCGCGCAGGUGGUCUUUCAAGUCAGUGGUGAAAGCCCGGAGCUCAACUCCGGAAAUGCCAUUGAAACUGUGAGACUUGAGGACGAGAGAGGUGAGUGGAAUUCCCAGUGUAGAGGUGAAAUUCGUAGAUAUUGGGAAGAACACCGGUGGCGAAGGCGGCUCACUGGCUCGUUUCUGACGCUCAGGCGCGACAGCGUGGGGAUCAAACAGG